UAGGAUGUGCCCGUAUUGUAUAUUUUUAUAUCCUGUACCUGAAGGAUAAAACUGGUAUAGCAUGGGAAUGUAGGAGGCAUCGCCGACUCGAUAAGGCAUAUACAAGUAUGUAUGUAUGUACAUAUAGGCAUGCCCGUUUGUUUGUCCGUCUGCCUAGAUGAAACGCUGCAUUUUGCAAACGUCUGAGCUCUCACUAAACAAAAUUGUCCUCCGUGGCCAGCAUACUCGAUUAAAAAAAAGUUGUCUAUUCUAAAUAAUAUCGUUUCUAUGAUGUAGUGAUCUGAGUGAACCUGUGCUCGUUGAAAAGAAGCUUCGGUGCACAGUUUUUGAAAGUGAUUGAUUGACUGACUAUGACUGCAUCUGAACUGUCUACCUGGUUGUUACAAAGAACAAAAUACCCUUGAAUGUUUAAGUGAAAUAUUUUUAUUUUAUUUUAUUAAAACUAAUUUUAAACAAGAUACCCGAGCUAGAAAUAUUCCGUUAAUUUAAUGUAGCGUUCGAUUUGAUUUCUUAUUGAGCCAAAAGGUCAGCAUCCGCAACAGUGUAUAUACUAUAUAUAAUACAUUUAUCAACAACUAAAUUGCCUUGAGUUUAAUAAAGGGAAAUGAUUAGCAAA